GACGAACGCUGGCGGCGUGCCUAAUACAUGCAAGUCGAACGAGAGCGACCGGUGCUUGCACUGGUCAAUCUAGUGGCGAACGGGUGAGUAACACGUGGGUAACCUGCCCAUCAGAGGGGGAUAACAUCCGGAAGCGGAUGCUAAAACCGCAUAGGUCUUCGAGCCGCAUGGCUUGAAGAGGAAAAGAGGCGCAAGCUUCUGCUGAUGGAUGGACCCGCGGUGCAUUAGCUAGUUGGUGAGGUAACGGCUCACCAAGGCCGUGAUGCAUAGCCGACCUGAGAGGGUGAUCGGCCACAUUGGGACUGAGACACGGCCCAAACUCCUACGGGAGGCAGCAGUAGGGAAUCUUCCGCAAUGGACGCAAGUCUGACGGAGCAACGCCGCGUGAGUGAAGAAGGUGUUCGGAUCGUAAAACUCUGUUGUUAGAGAAGAACAAGUGCUAGAGUAACUGUUAGCGCCUUGACGGUAUCUAACCAGAAAGCCACGGCUAACUACGUG
rnacentral:rRNA from 1 species